rnacentral:rRNA from 1 species
CGUGUAGGGGGUGUGACCUGGUAAAUCCGGUUGCAUAUCAACCCUGAGGCGUGAUGACGAUGCACUACGGUGCAGAAGUAGUUGAUGCCCUGCUUCCAGGAAAAGCCUCUAAGCUCUAGGUAACAUUAAAUCGUACCCCAAACCGACACAGGUGGUCAGGUAGAGAAUACCAAGGCGCUUGAGAGAACUCGGGUGACGGAACUAGGCAAAAUGGUGCCGUAACUUCGGGAGAAGGCACGCUGGC